UAGCAGGUGAGCCUCUUCAUGCCCCAAGCACCCUGCACUUUUAGUGCCCUGGAAGCACCUGCUUCACUGACGUGGCCAUUCCCCGGGCCUCAGGCACCUGUCCCACUGCCAAGUCAGAUGGCCUCGGUCAGGCUUGCUUAGACUGUGACGUUCAUCAGUGCAGACAUUCUUCUUCUUUUUGAGUAUAAAUAUGCUAGAACAUGUCCUUUUACUCACUCAUAUUCUCAUACUAGAUGUUGUUGUUUUUUUUCUCUCCUGGAUUUUUAAUUUUCUUUCUCAACCUCAUUUUGUAACAAAUGUUCCCAAAUUCAUUCUCCAGAUUUUAUCUCUUGUCAUCCAUAUACUUGACAGUUUUUAAUGUGUCAGGCACUGGGUGACCAUAUCCCUGCCCAUAAGGAGAAUACCUAGAAGUCUUCCCACGGGGCUGGGAAGAUGUUGUAUCUGUCAGGAUCCUGCAGGAAACAGAUGGCACACUCAGAGGGGUGAGUGAAGAGAUUUAGCAAAACAUUAUAAAAGUUUGGAGCAGAGUUCAGGGAAAUCAACAAGGAAUGACAAAGAAUGGUGAAUUUCUCUAGGGCUGGCAACAGAGGAGGAAGGAAGGGAGGGCUGAUGGGACCACAGGAGGGAGCAGGUGGCAUAACAGGGGCUUAGCUGUGAUCCUGGGUUGACCCUGGGGAAGGGCCAUCUGAUUGAGCUGGAAGAAUGCAGCCUCUGCUAUACCAGUGCCCAGUCUGGAGGGAGCUGGGGGAAUAAACUCCCCGACCUCUCUCUCUUUCUACCCAUCAAUCUCCUUAAGGUGUUACCUGUUGGUUGAACCCUGCCCAAAGCAAGGGAACCUUGAUGUUGUCUAUACAGGUCUCUCUCUGCUGGGGCAUGCAGCGGGGGAAAAAAGUGGAGUGGCUUCUUGUCCAAUAACUCCCCUUGGCUCUGCAGCCUUCAGCUAAAACAACUCAGGAGGCAGUGCCUGAUGUGGAAGAGGGAAUCAUGAGUCCUCCCAGGCCUGCUGCCAGGCAGCUACCUCAUUCUCUUCCCUCUUUCCCUCUUUGCUUCUUCUUCCCUUUGCCAAAUAUGACUUUCAUGCCUACAAGUUCAUUUGGUCUGCAGCGGCUGCCACAGCUUCUGGCCUAAGAGCAAAGGGCGCUUUCAGAAAAGAAGGUUCCCUGGUCCAGGAAGCAUCCGAACCUGCUCUGAGUGGCAAGUUUUCCAGUGAAGUGAAUUUGAACUCUUAUGUAUCUUUGCCAAAGGUUUCUUGGACCCGCUAAGUAAACACAUUAAAAUGCCAGUAAAAAUU